GCCGCCGUAGCUCAGCCUGGUUAGAGCGCCGGACUCAUACGGUCUACUAAAUAAUCCGGCUCUCUGAGAUAUCCGGUUGUCCGGGGUUCAAAUCCCCGCGGCGGCA
rnacentral:tRNA from 1 species